AUUGAACGCUGGCGGCAGGCCUAACACAUGCAAGUCGAACGGUAACAGGAAGCAGCUUGCUGCUUCGCUGACGAGUGGCGGACGGGUGAGUAAUGUCUGGGAAACUGCCUGAUGGAGGGGGAUAACUACUGGAAACGGUAGCUAAUACCGCAUAACGUCGCAAGACCAAAGAGGGGGACCUUAGGGCCUCUUGCCAUCGGGUGUGCCCAGAUGGGAUUAGCUAGUAGGUGGGGUAACGGCUCACCUAGGCGACGAGCCCUAGCUGGUCUGAGAGGAUGAGCAGCCACAUUGGAACUGAGACACGGUCCAGACUCCUACGGGAGGCAGCAGUGGGGAAUAUUGCACAAUGGGCGCAAGCCUGAUGCAGCCAUGCCGCGUGUAUGAAGAAGGCCUUCGGGUUGUAAAGUACUUUCAGCGGGGAGGAAGGGAGUAAAGUUAAUACCUUUGCUCAUUGACGUUACCCGCAGAAGAAGCACCGGCUAACUCCGUG
rnacentral:rRNA from 1 species